rnacentral:rRNA from 1 species
GGCUCAGAUGAAACGCUGGCGGAAUGCUUUACACAUGCAAGUCGAACGAUGAACCUUAGCUUGCUAGGGGGAUUAGUGGCGAACGGGUGAGUAACAUAUCGGAACGUACCUAGUAAUGGGGGAUAACUAGUCGAAAGAUUAGCUAAUACCGCAUACGCCCUGAGGGGGAAAGUAGGGGAUCUUCGGACCUUACGUUAUUAGAGCGGCCGAUAUCUGAUUAGCUAGUUGGUGGGGUAAAGGCCUACCAAGGCGACGAUCAGUAGCUGGUCUGAGAGGACGACCAGCCACACUGGAACUGAGACACGGUCCAGACUCCUACGGGAGGCUGCAGUGGGGAAUUUUGGACAAUGGGGGCAACCCUGAUCCAGCCAUUCCGCGUGAGUGAAGAAGGCCUUCGGGUUGUAAAGCUCUUUCGCAAGGGAAGAAAACUUAUUCUCUAAUAAAGGAUGAGGCUGACGGUACCUUGAUAAGAAGCACCGGCUAACUACGUGCCAGCAGCCGCGGUAAUACGUAGGGUGCGAGCGUUAAUCGGAAUUACUGGGCGUAAAGCGUGCGCAGGCGGUUUGAUAAGUCAGAUGUGAAAUCCCCGAGCUCAACUUGGGAACUGCGUUUGAAACUGUCAGACUAGAAUAUGUCAGAGGGGGGUAGAAUUCCACGUGUAGCAGUGAAAUGCGUAGAGAUGUGGAGGAAUACCAAUGGCGAAGGCAGCCCCCUGGGAUAAUAUUGACGCUCAUGCACGAAAGCGUGGGGAGCAAACAGGAUUAGAUACCCUGGUAGUCCACGCCCUAAACGAUGUCUACUAGUUGUUGGUGGAGUAAAAUCCAUGAGUAACGCAGCUAACGCGUGAAGUAGACCGCCUGGGGAGUACGGUCGCAAGAUUAAAACUC